GGCGCUUGAUAUCAACAUUGAAGAAUUCAGUAAUGCCCGAAUAUCAUAGAUGUUACCCAUGAGUGCAUUCAAUUGAUUUUCUGGUCAACAUCAUCAAAAAGGACGGGAACUCCUUUACUAAGUAGCCUAUCUUUAAUUGUCUUGAUCAACAUUCGACAUUACUCAUUUCUGUCAAUUUCCUUUGAGGA